GUGCCAGCCGCCACGGUAAUACCGGCAGCUCAAGUGAUGUCCCAUAUUAUUGGGCCUAAAGCGUCCGUAGCUGGCCGACCAAGUCUCCCGGGAAAUCCACCCGCCCAACGGGUGGGCGUCCGGUAGAAACUGGCCGGCUUGGAACCGGAAGGCUCAGAGAGUACGUCCGGGGUAGGAGUGAAAUCCCGUAAUCCUGGACGGACCACCGGUGGCGAAAGCGCCUCGAGAAGACGGACCCGACGGUGAGGAACGAAAGCCAGGGUCUCGAACCGGAUUAGAUACCCGGGUAGUCC
rnacentral:rRNA from 1 species